GUGAAACCAUUCAUAAUGUGGUUAGACUUGGUCAGAAGAUUAGGUAUACCUAAUCUUUUGACCAAGUCUAACCACAUUACAUGCUUUAAACUGCUAUUGUAAAACAAACUUUUUGCAAAAACUCUAAAAACACAGCUCUCUACAUUAUACGCAUCAUUCUCAUUUGGAAAAACACUGCCAUUUAAAUGCCACACUCAUUAAAUGAUGACCUUCAGCCAGUGAUCAUUUGUGAAAACACACAGAAUUCGUUCACUUAGAAAUCAAAACUCAGUUUUGAGAAAGAUUUUUUUACCCCCUUGCAUUUCUGUUUACAUUGUAUAUAUAUAUAUGUAUAUCUAUAUACUGUGUGUGUGUGUGUGUGUGUGUGUGUGUGUGCGCACGCGCGGUUUGCCCUCAUUCUUCUCUUCUUUCUUUAUUAGUUCAGUCUCUACAGCACGUCUGCAUGAUCUUGAGCAGUUUAAGCUCCUUCACAGCUCUGUUAUGGCGAAUGUUCAAACCAGGAUUCUUCAUCUGGAUCUCUCUAUCAUCAUUAUUUUCCUGAUUCAUGCAGAUUAUUCAAAAUCUAAUCAAGAGAAAAGGAUUCAGCAGCACAUCAACAAAACAGUGUUUGUGGGGGAAACAGUUACACUUCACUGCAACAAAACCCAACUUGAUGAUGAUUUCACAUGGAAAAUGAACAGCUUCGUUAUUUUUAGGCAGGACUCUGAAAGAAACAGAACAAUGACAAACUUCAGCUCAAACAGGAUUCACAUCGACCCCGCAGCUCCAAGAGAAUUAACAAUACAUCAAAUACAAGCGUCUGAUGCAGGAAACUACAGCUGUUACCCAGCAGCAAUAAGAUGGACAUUAACAAUAACAGAAAUCCAGAUCAGACCAGAAUCACUCAAACAAAUGUCGCUGAACAUCAUCAUCAUCAUCAUCUCAUGUUCUGGAGUCAUUAUGAUCUGUUUUAUCAUCACCAUCAGCAUCUGCAUUCACAGGAAACUGAGACAGAAGAUCAGCUCUGGUUCAGAGGAUGUGAAGAUGAUCUCUGACUGUGACAAACACACAGUAACAGCCUGUGUCUACAGUCUUCAUACAGUUUCAUAA
rnacentral:lncRNA from 1 species